ACGCACGCUGGCGGCGUGCUUCACCCAUGCAAGUCGUACGGUAAGGCCCUUUCGGGGGUACACGAGUGGCGAACGGGUGAGUAACACGUGAGUAACCUGCCCACAACUUUGGGAUAACGCUAGGAAACUGGUGCUAAUACUGGAUAUGUGCUCCUGCUGCAUGGUGGGGGUUGGAAAGCUCCGGCGGUUGUGGAUGGACUCGCGGCCUAUCAGCUUGUUGGUGGGGUAGUGGCCUACCAAGGCGGCGACGGGUAGCCGGCCUGAGAGGGUGACCGGCCACAUUGGGACUGAGAUACGGCCCAGACUCCUACGGGAGGCAGCAGUGGGGAAUAUUGCACAAUGGGCGCAAGCCUGAUGCAGCAACGCCGCGUGCGGGAUGACGGCCUUCGGGUUGUAAACCGCUUUCAGCAGGGACGAAGCUUUUUGUGACGGUACCUGCAGAAGAAGCACCGGCUAACUACGUG
rnacentral:rRNA from 1 species